UACAGAGGUCCCGAGCGUUGUUCGGAUUCACUGGGCGUAAAGGGUGCGUAGGUGGCGAGGUAAGUCGGAUGUGAAAGCUCGGAGCUCAACUCCGAAAUGGCAUUGGAAACUACCUUGCUCGAGGGUUGGAGGGGGGACUGGAAUACUUGGUGUAGCAGUGAAAUGCGUAGAUAUCAAGUGGAACACCAGUGGCGAAGGCGAGUUCCUGGACAAGUCCUGACGCUGAGGCACGAAAGCCAGGGGAGCAAACAGG
rnacentral:rRNA from 1 species